GACGAACGCUGGCGGCGUGCUUAACACAUGCAAGUCGAACGGAAAGGCCCUGCUUUUGUGGGGUGCUCGAGUGGCGAACGGGUGAGUAACACGUGAGUAACCUGCACCUGACUUUGGGAUAACUUCAGGAAACUGGGGCUAAUACCGGAUAGGAGCUCCUGCUGCAUGGUGGGGGUUGGAAAGUUUCGGCUGUUGGGGAUGGAAUCGCGGCUUAUCAGCUUGUUGGUGGGGUAGUGGCUGACCAAGGCUUUGACGGGUAGCCGGCCUGAGAGGGUGACCGGGCACAUUGCGACUGAGAUACGGACCAGAAUCGUACGGGAGGCAGCAGUCGGGAAUAUUGCACAGCGGGCCGAAGUGUGAGGUAGAGACGUCGCGUGCGGGAUGAUGGGCUUCUGGGUGUAAACCGCUUUCGACGGUGACGAAGCGGGAUUGACGGUAAUGGGUCAAGAAGCACCGGCUAACUACGUG
rnacentral:rRNA from 1 species